UCGUGAGACAGUUCGGUCCCUAUCUGCCAUGGGCGUUGGAGAUUUGAGAGGGGCUGCUCCUAGUACGAGAGGACCGGAGUGGACGAACCUCUGGUGUUCCGGUUGUCACGCCAGUGGCAUUGCCGGGUAGCUAUGUUCGGAAGCGAUAACCGCUGAAAGCAUCUAAGCGGGAAGCGCGCCUCAAGAUGAGAUCUCCCGGGGCACAAGCCCCCUGAAGGAACCAUGUAGACUACGUGGUUGAUAGGUCAGGUGUGUAAGUACAGCAAUGUAUUGAGCUAACUGAUACUAAUGAUCCGUGCGGCUUGACCAUAUAACCUCA
rnacentral:rRNA from 1 species